CCUACGGGUGGCAGCAGUCGAGAAUCAUUCACAAUGGGGGAAACCCUGAUGGUGCGACGCCGCGUGGGGGAAUGAAGGUCUUCGGAUUGUAAACCCCUGUCAUGUGGGAGCAAAUUAAAAAGAUAGUACCACAAGAGGAAGAGACGGCUAACUCUGUGCCAGCAGCCGCGGUAAUACAGAGGUCUCAAGCGUUGUUCGGAAUCACUGGGCGUAAAGCGUGCGGAGGCUGUUUCGUAAGUCGUGUGUGAAAGGCGCGGGCUCAACCCGCGGACGGCACAUGAUACUGCGAGACUAGAGUAAGGGAGGGGGAACCGGAAUUCUCGGUGUAGCAGUGAAAUGCGUAGAUAUCGAGAGGAACACUCGUGGCGAAGGCGGGUUCCUGGACAUUAACUGACGCUGAGGCACGAAGGCCAGGGGAGCGAAAGGGAUUAGAUACCCGAGUAGUC
rnacentral:rRNA from 1 species